UUAAAAAUAGUAAUUCAAGAGGAAGUUUUUCUUUAAAACACUUCUAAACUAAAGUUUUAUUGGCUGAGACUAUUUAUUGGUCUAAGCCCCUUAGUAAAACAUUUACCGGCCCUUUUUAAGUCUCUGUUUUAUAGAUUGGCUAAGGGAAGCUAUCAAAAUCAAGCUGUAGGAGCAUUUUAUUUGAGGGUUAUCAAGAUCAAGAUUGAUGUCAAGAACUUGGUGAUCUCUUCAGUUGUUGUUUCAAGAGCUUAAAGAAAAACGCAAGUAGGAGUACUUGUGGUUGCAGUGGAUCAAGGAAAGAAGUAGUCCAUGGACCCAGAGCUGUCACGUCGUGGUGGUACUAAGUUUUCUACUCAAGGUAGCAAUAGAAUGUUAGUAGUCUAAGUCUUAUUAUACAAACUUCAAUUCUUUCAUAGUGGAUUUAUUUUACCUUGAGUAUAGCUAGCUAAGUUCAAUCCUCCCCAGAUUUUUUACCGGUUUGGUUUUCCUGGAUUAUCAUAUUGUUGUGUUAUUUACUUUUCCAUAUAAUUUACAUGAUAUGAUUUGAAUGUGUUAACCUAGAUUUGAAUUAAUUAUCUAAGUAAUCACUUGGCUAAAUAAACAGGUUAAACUUCUUGUAUUUUAAGGUGUCUAAAAACGUAUAAUAAUAGUAAUGAUAAUAUCUUAAUUUUGAAGGAAAAAUCAUAAUUAAAAAAAAAAAAAAAAAAAAAAAAAAACUCAAUCUCAUUCCCAAGAAGAUCAACAAUAGCAAUACCACCAACAAAACCCACAAUCUCAUUCUUAAUCCCCCCAAUCUCUAAUUAUGUGCUUGUUGAAGGCUUCUUUUUCUUCUUGUUUCUCACAUUCUUUGUGUGUUCUUCCAAUGUUCUUUUUGCGUUUUCAUAGAUUUAUGGUGGUGUUUACCUUCAUAUACACUUAGGGUUAUCAAGAUCAAGAUUAAUGUCAAGAACUUGGUGAUCUCUUCAGUUGUUGUUUCAAGAGCUUAAAGAAAAAUACAAGUAGGAGUACUUGUGGUUGCAGUGGAUCAAGAAAAGAAGUAAUUCGUGGACUUGGAGCUAUCACGUGGUCGUGGUAGUAAGUUUUCUACUCAAGGUAGCAAUAGAAUGUUAGUGGUCUAAGUCUUAUUAUACAAAUUUCAAUUCUUUUAUAGUAGAUCUGUUUUACCUUAAGGAUAGCUAGGUUCAAUCCUCCCCAGAUUUUUUAUUGGUUUGGUUUUCCUGGGUUAUCAUAUCGUUGUAUUAUUUACUUUUCCGCAUUAUUUACAUGAUAUGAUUUGAAUGUGUUAACUUAGAUUUGAAUAAUUUAUCUAAGUAAUCGCUUGACUAAAUAACUAGGUUAAACUUCUUGUGUUUUAAGGGGUCUAAAAUGUACAAUAAUAAUGAUAAUAUCUUACUUUUGAAGGAAAAAUCAUAAUUAUUAAAAAAAAAACCUCAAUCUCAGUCCCAAGAAGAUCAACAAUAGCAAUACCACCAACAAAACCCACAAUCUCAUUCUUAAUCCCCCCAAUCUCUAGUUAUGUGCUUGUUAAAGAUUUCUCUUUCUUCUUGUUUUUCGCGUUCUUUGUGUGUUCUUCCAAUGUUAUUAUUUUUUUUUUCAAAGAUUUAUGGUGAACGUUCUUUGGGGUUUUAAAGCUUGAAUCCGAUGAAUUUUUGAUGGAUCAAAGUCUUGGAAGUUUCUAGAGGUUUUGAAGCUUGAUUUGAAUAAAAGUUUGAAACUUGGAAUGAUGAUUUGGAUGAAUGUUCAUCAUAUUUAGAUUUGUGGUGGAAGUAUUUCGGGACUUUAGAGGCUUGAAUCUGUAAAGUUUCACUAUUUUGUAGUAUCUUGGAGUUUCCAAAGGCUUUGAGCUUGAUUCAAGUGAACUUUGAGAUCUUAAAAAAUUAUUUGAAUGAUUUCUCUUUAAAUGCUCUUCGUAUACAAAUGUUGAAGUUCUUAGAGAUUUUGGAGUUUGAUUCCAGCAAAGUUUUGAGACUUCUAAAUAUGUUUCCACGUGACUUAAGAAAACCUCAAUUUAUAGGAGUCUUGGGGUGGUGUGAUGACACAUGAUUAACUCUAACUGUUGACACAUAUCAUAAUUUAAAUAGAUGGACUUUUAUGUCUUGUUCUCCAAGGAACAUAUGACAUUAUUUGAUUAGCAAAAGUGUCUUUAUUUAAAAUAACACAUGACAAUAUUUAAUUAAACUAUUCAUAUCAUUUUCCAUUAAAUAUCAACACAUGUUGAAGUGUGAUUGGCUUUUAAAUAUUGUUUAUAAUUUCUAUUAAAUGACACUUGGACUAUUUCCAUUGGUCUUUGAAUGGUGACAAUAAAACCCACUAAGUCCAUGUGGCAUCUUGUAAUUGGCCGCUUUGAAUGUAUUAUGUGGACUUGAUGGUAAAACAUUGUAAUUUGUGAUUGGUAAAAAAAAUUUCCCUUCUACAAAGUAAUUCCUUAUUUUUCUAGGCUGAUAAUGCAAAUUUUGACAUUUUAGUAUUCAUAUUGGUAUUUUGACACUAAUAUCGAAGUUAGACAAAAUAUGUUAUCGAAAUUUGAUAUUAAUAUAAGCAAACAUAUCAAGAAGACAGAUUUUCAUACAAUCAUACAGGGUUUCCCAAUAUUUUUCUAGAAGUACUGUUCAAACCACCUUAAUUGCAUGUCGGAAAAAUAUGGUUUGUAUCGCAUACAAAACAUACGCAACAGAAACUCAAUGGAUCUACUUCCUUUGCAAUUGAUAACAUGUACUAUGUAAAUUUCAGAAUUUAAGAAUAAAAGAGCAUACCCUGGUACAGUGAAAUUCAAAAACAAAGAUUAAAAGUACUUGGGAACAUUUUUAAUCUUCACUCCAAUCCUACUUAUGCCCAAGAAGUGUGAUCUCUCAAUCAGUUUAUAUGUAUGUGUUUAGGGGAGAAUAAGAGAGUGGCUUACACUCACAUACACACCAUUUCAUUCUAAUAAUAAAAUUCUGUAUGUUUCACUUUUUAUAUAUAACUGAUUAUCUAAUUGGGCUAGCUUUUUGAGCCAUUCCAA